rnacentral:lncRNA from 1 species
GGGUCUCAGCUUCAUCAGAGAUCUGACGUCCAUCAGGCACGGGGAAGAUGGUGAGAGUUUUAUAGCAUCCAGUUGCCACCCUCAGGUGCUGCCUCUCCUUCUGGCUCUUCUGGGACCUUCUACCCCCACGACAGAGGUGUUCAGAGAUGCUGGGGCAGGAGAGAGGGACAUAUCUUGGGUUGGGGAGAUGCUGAGGAGAAUGGAGACAAGAGGGAUACUGCACGAGUCUGGAUAAGGAGGGGAAAGGUCCUUCUGUCCCCCGCACAGGUCGUUGCCAUCUAGCAGAGCCACAUAGCAAACUGAGAAGCCUCCUGGAUCUUAGCGGUGCAGACAGAAAGGGCUUGAACUCAAGCAGCAAAAACGAAGCCAGCGAGCAGGGGAAAAGUCAGAGGCAGUGGCCCAGGGUGAUAGACAGCGAAGGCUGGCAUAUCUGAAUCCAGAUUUCAGGACCUGAACUGGCAAGGUUCUAUGUUCAGAAGAAAAGCCUCCUGGGAGUUUUCUUGGGGGGCAGCGCAUUGAGGAUCGGUGUGGCUUGGGAGGCUGCUGUGGACAACAUUCGAUCCCUGGCCCGAGAACUUGGCUGAAAAAAAAAAAAAAAGAUGAUGUGGGAAAUGAAAAAAUAGAAGCAGAGCACACAGUGAGUGCUUCCCUCCCACAUCCUGGCACUUGGGGGAUGUCUGGCUUGAACACGUAACCCAAGAGGGAAGGGGGGUCACUGCACAACUGGGAGGACUAGACACUUGCAGACCCCAGAGACCCUCCCAUAUCCUUCGGACACGAACACUGAUAGCAGGAGCCCAGUCCAGUUAAACCAGACUUCUUAGGAGUGGAGCCCACGUCCAUAUUCCAUGAAGCUUUCUAGGUGACGCCAACAUGCUGCCAGGCUAAGAACCACUGCUUUAGAUUCCGAUGAAUAUAAACUGUAAAGCCAGGGGCCCUCUUGUGUGUUUGUUUUCUGCUCUAUCCCCUGGCAUCUAGCACAGUGCCUGGUACAUGGUAGAAAUUGAAUACAGAUUUAUUACAGGAAAGGAGAGUGUGAAACAAGGCAUUUCUAUAAUAGAAACAAAUCUGUAUAUGGUGAGGCCAUGCAGGGAACUCUACUCAACAUCUUGUAAUAACCUAGAAUGGAAAAGACUCUAAAAAAGAAUACAUACAUUUAUAUAUGUAUUUGUAUCACUUUGCUGUAUACCAGAAACUAACACGGCACUGUAAAUCAACUGUAUUUCAAUACAAAUUUAAAAAAAAUUAGGCCACGCAGGGCAUGUAUAGAGGGGAGUUACCUCCCAGCCCCCACAAGAACCCUGUGGUCACACACACGUUUGUCCCUUGCUGUCCCAGCACAAGCAAACACGCAGCACCCGCUCAGUCGCUCCCGAGUGUCAAGACAGUUGUGGCUGUCCUCUGGAUCUAGGCUAUUUAGUUGACCCCAAAUCACCCAGGGCUGUGGUCCAGUUGACUUCCUCUGUUCCCUCCAGAAGUGCUGGUGUGACAGCAUGGCUCACAGAGAAGAGGCUUGAACCCUAACACUUUCAGCUGCAUGCAGCCCACUACGGGCUGUUAUCUCUCUCCACCAGCAGCUGAGGAAUAGUCAGGGGUCACUUCCAGCGGUGUUUUCUUCCUUCCUGUUCUUGCUCAGGGUCCGGCAGUAAUGACUUUGGCAGAAGUGUUGGGUCACCUUUUCCCAGAGUCAGGCGACCCUGUCUCCCUGGCUGCUGGCUGAGAGGAGCCUUGAGAAGGGGAGCCAAGGAGGAACCCUGGGUGUGGACUUGGAGCAUCUGAGUUAGUCUGGCGGAGGAGCAUUUCAUCAGCAUCUCUACAGGCCCAGGGAGUCUGUCAUCUAUUGCCAGGCUUGGGUACCACUGUCUAGAGCUGCAGGAGCCACAUGUUUGAUAGUGGGUAGAACCAGUGUUGGUCUCGGUCCUUCCUCUACUUUAGCAGCGUAGUGUUAACCCACUUCGGACAGCGCAGUGUGCCUGCCUGUGUCAAAUCUUUGAGCUGGGUUGGGAUCUCAUUUUUUAUCUCCCCAUUUCCACCGAGAAAGACGGCAUAGGAAAAAAAAAUCUGGAAAUAAGACAAGCCUUAAUUCAAACCUCGACAGUGCUACUGAUAUCUCUUAAACUCAGUUUUAACAUCUAUAAAAGGCAGAUGAUAUAAUUUACUGGGCAGGUUUAUUGUGAGGCAUAGAUCUUAGGGCUAUUGUGAGAUGGUGUUGUUUGAAUCCUAUGGAAGUAUUAUUUCACCAUUGGGCUCUGAGCUCUUUGAAGGUACAGACAGCAUUUUCUGUUUGUCUUUGUAUCCUUAACCUCUAACACAGUAAAUAGCUGGCACAUACUAGAUGCUUAAGGUAACCUUCUCAGAGCAGUCUGCCCAGAUGCUUCAUCUCAGGAUCCCCUAUAUAUCCCAUUAUACCCUCUUGGUUUCAUUAACGGCCUCAACUUGCUAUAUUUGCUUGUGUAUCCUCUUUCUCCAAAUUAGACUGUCAUUUCUAUGCUGUCAGGACUUUGUCUUGGUGUUCAAAGUCUAGAACCGUGUCUGGUACACAGUAGGUGCUCAACAUAUGUGUAUCCAGUGGAGAAAGGAAGAAAUGGCAGCUAUUUUACGAGGACUCAUAGUAGCAGUGAUUGCACGAUGAACUGGAACCAAUCCAAACAGAAAAAUGAAUUGUCUCUGGACAGCUCAGCAGAAGGGGUGAGCACCGCCAGAAGCCCUUGGAGUUUCCUCCUCAGAGAAUUCUGCCUGGGAACCUUUCUUUAGGGCUGGUGAUUUCCUCAGGCCUCCGCCAGGAGGCCCUUCAUGCUGAAGUGAGCAGCGUGAAUGAGGUUUCAGGACCCGGACAAGGGCUGCCUCGGAAGGAGCCUGAACUGGGGCCCUCUGAGGCGUGGGGGAGGGGGCCACACCCUCUCCUGGGCUUGGCACCAGGGGAAGGCUCCAGACGGCGCGGGCUCUGUGCCAGCCUGCUUGGUUCCAGUGGGAAAGCUGACCUUGGCCAGGAAGAACCAGGAAGAGGCACAAAUGACUCAUUGUCCCACAUCCUCCAAGGUGAAAACCCAGCAGUGUGUGUGGCCUCUGGGGCUGGACGCUAUUGCAGCCUUGGCUCCCUCCGCAGCCCAAAUAAAAGCAGUCGGCCAGCAACUCCGGCGCAGCCCAGGAAUACAACGCAUGGAUGUCACCCAUUGUCCCGUUCCACACACUUCCCUGCACUGAAAGUUCCUGAACACCGUGUGUAAGUUCCAGUUCUAAAAGUGGAGCACUAUUUCCUUCUAAAGACUUAAGACAGCCUUCAUUUCCAAUCAAGGGCAUGUGACAUUGUAUGGACUCGUGGAAGAAACGGGAUCUAUUUUCAGGUCACGUGUGAAGAAGGUUGCGGUGGAAUGUGCUUUAUUUUUAUUCACGAGUUUGGGAUCCAAGUCACAUUUGUAAGAUGCGCCACUGCCUUAAGAUUCCCACUAGAGGGCACUCUUGGAAAAUAUUUAUAAGUACAUAU